GUGCCAGCCGCCGCGGUAAUACGUAGGGUGCGAGCGUUGUCCGGAAUUACUGGGCGUAAAGAGCUUGUAGGCGGUUCGUCGCGUCGUUCGUGAAAACCUACCGCUCAACGGUGGGCUUGCGGUCGAUACGGGCGGACUAGAGUACUUCAGGGGAGACUGGAAUUCCUGGUGUAGCGGUGAAAUGCGCAGAUAUCAGGAGGAACACCGGUGGCGAAGGCGGGUCUCUGGGAAGUAACUGACGCUGAGAAGCGAAAGCGUGGGUAGCGAACAGGAUUAGAAACCCGCGUAGUCC
rnacentral:rRNA from 1 species